CAAAAAAUUCUGAGGGAAGAGUACCACCUUACAUCUCAAUUUCACUAGUUUUCUCUUUCAUACAUUGAUUGCGAAAAUUUAUUAGUUGCUUAAACCCAUAAAAAAUGUCUGUAUCCUACUAUGAUACACGUAACUGCGCGCACAUGCAACUAAAUAGUUUCUUUCGUAUGUUUGUAUUAGUGCAUUUCAGUGGAAUGAUUCUUUAAAGUGUGACGAGGUUAGUAGGAUAGUUCCAGACGCGCAGAAUAAUAUAUCCUUCUCGUAUGUUUGUUUUCAUAAUUCAAUUGCUACUUUUUAAACGUCAAAUGUAUUUAUGUACUGAAAGGAGAUUAUUAUGUACUUCAAUCGUAUCAAAGUGCGUCAUCGUUUAAAAAAUGGAAUAAAGCACAAUUAUUUCAAAUGAUGUUUCGCCUCUCACAAAUGGGAAUGGCAAGAGUAAAACAACGCUGUCGCCGUCGAAUGCUAUCAACCAGACUGCAAAUGGAAUUGUAUACAAUAAAGAGUAACAUAAACAACACUGAAACGGAAAAACAACCACGGGAGCAAAUCUUCAUUCGAAAAGGUUCCUCUACACACAGCCUUCCUAGUAUAUCUUGGCUUUUACCUGCUCAUGAUAUUGGGCUACAUCAAUCAAUGUAUGUGUGCCCGAAAAGUAGCUAAACAAAAUAAUCGAGAGGGCUAUGUUACGCUAUACGAUACCUUCGAGAAUUCUAUUCACGGUAUGUCUAUUGCUGGAAUUUCCCAAUUUGCAGUGUCCCUGGUAGGGAGGUAACUCUCAAAGAUCGCAUAACCAAGGAUUACGGUUGGACAUUUGAGUUCACUGGAAAAGAAACAAGAUGCUUGAACAGCGUUGCAGAACAGACGGCUUGGCUUUAGACAGUCCCCGUUGUAAAGUGUGUUGGAGUGUUCGAUUGUCCGAAGUUAUUGCAUUGAAGAAGAAAUACAAACCUUAUUUGCAUUUGUAUGAGACGCAUAGUGUGGUAGCAAUGGGACCAAAUGGUCGCGGUACUGUCGACUAUUAUGGCGCCGAUCCGAAAGAUGUUGAUAUUCUAAUGGGCAAAUUUAAAAGCUUUGGCAGUGCUGGUGGUUAUAUUGCUGGAACAAAGAGCUGUAGGUCGUACACAAACUUUCCGUAAGGUAGCGGUUGUUGGAGUUGGGUUUCCUGCCACUCCAAUUGUGGAAUGACGUACAUAUACGCUUAAGAGAAGUUUGAUUAUGCCUUACAAGUGAAUAGUGAUUGAUGAAAUAAGUGAUUCAGUAAUCAGUUGGCCUAAAGUAUUCAUGUAAAGUAAGAGAUUCUAAUCCGAUUAUUUAUUAAGUUAAAAGGAAUAAAUAAAUAAUAAUAAAUAAAUAAAUAAGGUCAUUUUAUAAUUCGUUUAAUAAGAAUUUCAUUUAUUUGAUGUAUCUUCCCAUAUACAUAUAUAUAAGUAUAAAGUUAGUUACUAAAGAUCUAUUAUAUUUCUAUCACUAAAAAUAAAUAAGUAAAGCAAAAUUGAAAGAUGUUUUAUUUUCAUCGCAGUAGGAAAAAGCGGAGUUCUAGAUACAUUUUUUGAAAUUGCCCUUUUACAAGGCGUUGUGAGUUCAACGGGUGAACCCAAUAUUGCCUUUUGAUUGCAGGUUUAUUCCUUCUUUCUAAUUCAAACGCACAUAUCAGUGCCAUUAUGUAAAAAUCCAUGCCCAGAAAAUUUUGACCUUCAAAAAACAAAAAAUAUAUUUUAUAUAAUUUUGUAUUCCAACAAUAUAUCUACUCUUUUCUUUCAUAAGAAAAAAAAUAGGACAAAUUUGAAACUAUUUUGUUUCGUGUAUAUGAGAUAGAAAUAGUGAAUAAAUGUUUUCUGUGUAUUGGUUUAUUUCGUUGAUUACUUUUGGAGUUGCUUAUGUGCGCGAUGUUUGGGCAACUGACGAUCAAACUAUUUGGUUUCGAAAAAGUUGCAUGUGC